GGCGUGUUCGUCCAGCCCGGUCCAGGACGCGGCCUUCUCAAGGCCGAAACACGGGUUCGAAUCCCGUACACGCUACCA
rnacentral:tRNA from 1 species